rnacentral:rRNA from 1 species
GACGAACGCUGGCGGCGUGCUUAACACAUGCAAGUCGAACGGAAAGGCCCUGCUUGCAGGGUACUCGAGUGGCGAACGGGUGAGUAACACGUGGGUGAUCUGCCCUGCACUUCGGGAUAAGCCUGGGAAACUGGGUCUAAUACCGGAUAGGAGCCAUUUUUAGUGUGAUGGUUGGAAAGUUUUUUCGGUGUAGGAUGAGCUCGCGGCCUAUCAGCUUGUUGGUGGGGUAAUGGCCUACCAAGGCGGCGACGGGUAGCCGGCCUGAGAGGGUGGACGGCCACAUUGGGACUGGGAUACGGCCCAGACUCCUACGGGAGGCAGCAGUGGGGAAUAUUGCACAAAGGGCGCAAGCCUGAUGCAGCGACGCCGCGUGGGGGAUGACGGCCUUCGGGUUGUAAACUCCUUUCGCUAGGGACGAAGCUUUUUGUGACGGUACCUAGAUAAGAAGCACCGGCUAACUACGUG